UACGUAGGGUGCAAGCGUUAAUCGGAAUUACUGGGCGUAAAGCGUGCGCAGGCGGUGAUGUAAGACAGUUGUGAAAUCCCCGGGCUCAACCUGGGAACUGCAUCUGUGACUGCAUCGCUGGAGUGCGGCAGAGAGGGAUGGAAUUCCGCGUGUAGCAGUGAAAUGCGUAGAUAUGCGGAGGAACACCGAUGGCGAAGGCAAUCCCCUGGGCCUGCACUGACGCUCAUGCACGAAAGCGUGGGGAGCAAACAGG
rnacentral:rRNA from 1 species